rnacentral:rRNA from 1 species
GCGUGAAGCAGGUGGAUCCCUUCGGGGUGACACCUGUGGAUCGAGCGGCGGACGGGUGAGUAACACGUGGGCAACCUGCCUGUAAGACUGGGAUAACCCCGGGAAACCGGGGCUAAUACCGGGUAAUACCGGACUCCGCAUGGAGUCUGGUUGAAAGAUGGCUUCUUGCUAUCACUUACAGAUGGGCCCGCGGCGCAUUAGCUAGUUGGUGAGGUAACGGCUCACCAAGGCGACGAUGCGUAGCCGACCUGAGAGGGUGAUCGGCCACACUGGGACUGAGACACGGCCCAGACUCCUACGGGAGGCAGCAGUAGGGAAUCUUCCGCAAUGGACGAAAGUCUGACGGAGCAACGCCGCGUGAACGAUGAAGGUCUUCGGAUCGUAAAGUUCUGUUGUCAGGGAAGAACAAGUACCGUUCGAACAGGGCGGUACCUUGACGGUACCUGACGAGGAAGCCCCGGCUAACUACGUGCCAGCAGCCGCGGUAAUACGUAGGGGGCAAGCGUUGUCCGGAAUUAUUGGGCGUAAAGCGCGCGCAGGCGGUUCCUUAAGUCUGAUGUGAAAGCCCACGGCUCAACCGUGGAGGGUCAUUGGAAACUGGGGAACUUGAGUACAGAAGAGGAGAGUGGAA